rnacentral:rRNA from 1 species
AUUGAACGCUGGCGGCAGGCCUAACACAUGCAAGUCGAACGAGUGGCGGACGGGUGAGUAAUGUCUGGGAAACUGCCUGAUGGAGGGGGAUAACUACUGGAAACGGUAGCUAAUACCGCAUACCAUCAGAUGUGCCCAGAUGGGAUUAGCUAGUAGGUGGGGUAACGGCUCACCUAGGCGACGAUCCCUAGCUGGUCUGAGAGGAUGACCAGCAAAACUGGAAUUGAGACAGGGUCCAGCCUCCUAGGGGAGGCAGCAGGGGGGAAUAUUGCAAAAGGGGGGCAAGCCUGAUGCAGCCAUGCCGGGUGUAUGAAGAAGGCCUUCGGGUUGUAAAGUACUUUCAGCGGGGAGGCGUUACCCGCAGAAGAAGCACCGGCUAACGCCGGGCCAGCAGCCGCGGUAAUAC